UCGUCCUUGGAAAACAAGAAAUCAGGUCGGCUGUAACUGCGGUGGCCAGAGAGCGCGAUAUCUUUCAACUUGGUUUUGACCAGGGUUGGAUAAUAUCCUGAGGAUGAAGAAAUUUGUUCGUCCUUUAACUUUCUGUGCAACAUUUCAAACGGAGCAAGGAAGGCACAGCGAUCUAACUUGUUGGGUGGAAUGGCAAAGUUGAGACCUUUCGAGAGGAUUUCCUUCUCUUUGUCCGAGAUUAAGCGCUGUGAGAAAUUGAACACAACCUUGUCCGGGUCGAUUGAGGCAUCAUUAUUUGCGUCAGAGCAAAGGCGAAAAAGUUUACGGUCUUGAAUUCGUUGCUG
rnacentral:lncRNA from 1 species